UACGUAGGGUGCGAGCGUUAAUCGGAAUCACUGGGCUUAAAGGGCGCGUAGGCGGCUCGCCAAGUCAGGGGUGAAAUACUUCAGCUUAACUGGAGAAGUGCCCUUGAUACUGGCGGGCUCGAGGGAGGUAGGGGUCUGUGGAACUUCUGGUGGAGCGGUGAAAUGCGUUGAUAUCAGAAGGAACGCCGGUGGCGAAAGCGACGGACUGGACCUCUUCUGACGCUGAGGCGCGAAAGCUAGGGGAGCAAACGGG
rnacentral:rRNA from 1 species